UGAAUACGAGACGCUAAGGCGUCGAAGUAGUGUAUGUCAUACUUCCAAGAAAAGCUUGCACUGUCAUAGAUAAAAAACGCCUGUACCAUAACCGACACAGGUGGGUAGGUAGAGUAUACUAAGGGGCGCGAGAUAACUCUCUCUAAGGAACUCGGCAAAAUAACUCCGUAACUUCGGGAGAAGGAGUGCCUUAUUCGUAAGGUUGCAAUAACAAGAUCCGAGCAACUGUUUAUCAAAAACACAGGUCUCCGCUAAGUCGUAAGACGAUGUAUGGGGGCUGACGCCUGCCCAGUGCCAGAAGGUUAAAGAAGUUGGUUAGCAAUUGCGAAGCUGAUAACUGAAGCCCUGGUGAACGGCGGCCGUAACUAUAACGGUCCUAAGGUAGCGAAAUUCCUUGUCGGGUAAGUUCCGACCCGCACGAAAGGCGUAAUGAUUUGGAUACUGUCUCGGAGAGGGGCUCGGUGAAAUAGACUUGUCUGUGAAGAUGCGGACUACCUGCACCAGGACAGAAAGACCCUAUGAAGCUUUACUGUAACUUGAAAUUGAAAUUGGACUUUAUUCGCGCAGUAUAGGUGGGAGGCGUUGAUUAUAAUCUUGUGGGAUUAUUGGAGCCAUCAGUGAGAUACCACUCUUGUAAUGUUAGAUUUCUAACUUUGAAUCAUUAUCUGGUCAAAGAACAGUUUCAGGCGGGCAGUUUGACUGGGGCGGUCGCCUCCUAAACGGUAACGGAGGCGUACAAAGGUUUCCUCUGAACGGUUAGAAAUCGUAUCUAGAGUGUAAAGGCAUAAGGAAGCUUGACUGUGAGACCUACAAGUCGAGCAGGGACGAAAGUCGGUCUUAGUGAUCUGACGGUACUGAGUGGAAAGGCCGUCACUCAACGGAUAAAAGUUACUCUAAGGAUAACAGGCUGAUCUCCCCCAAGAGUUCACAUCGACGGGGAGGUUUGGCACCUCGAUGUCGGCUCAUCGCAUCCUGGGGCGGUAGUACGUCCCAAGGGUUGGGCUGUUCGCCCAUGAAAGCGGUACGCGAGCUGGGUUCAGAACGUCGUGAGACAGUUCGGUCCAUAUCCGGUGUAGGCGUUAGAAUAUUGAGAGGAGCCUUCUUUAGUACGAGAGGACCGAGAAGGACAUACCUCUGGUGUACCAGUUAUCGUGCCAACGGUAAACGCUGGGUAGCUAUGUAUGGAGUGGAUAACCGCUGAAAGCAUCUAAGUGGGAAGCCCACCUCAAGAUAAGUAUUCUCA
rnacentral:rRNA from 1 species